GCUAACUUCUCUCAGAAUGAGUAUUAUAGAACUUGGUAAAAGUUUCCCGGCUUCUUAUGACAGCCUCAGGGUCACGCAAAUCACUUCUGUGGCAUUCUACUAAUCAAAAGCAAGUCACAGGACCAGCCCAACUCAAAGAAAGGGACUACAUAAGAGCAAGAGGGUCUUGCUAGCUAAAUUGCCCAAGCUGGCCUGGAACUUGAUUCUUCUGCCUCUGCUUCCUGAGUAGCUGGGUUUUCCGGUGUGUAUCACCACGCUCGGCAAGGUUUG